UACGUAGGGUGCAAGCGUUAAUCGGAAUUACUGGGCGUAAAGCGCACGUAGGCGGCUUUGUAAGUAAGAGGUGAAAGCCCAGAGCUCAACUCUGGAAUUGCCUUUUAGACUGCAUCGCUUGAAUCAUGGAGAGGAGAGUGGAAUUCCCAGUGUAGAGGUGAAAUUCGUAGAUAUUGGGAAGAACACCGGUGGCGAAGGCGGCUCUCUGGACCGAUACUGACGCUGAGGCGCGAAAGCGUGGGGAGCAAACAGG
rnacentral:rRNA from 1 species